UACGUAGGGGGCAAGCGUUGUCCGGAAUCAUUGGGCGUAAAGCGCGCGUAGGCGGCCCUGUAAGUCCGCUGUGAAAGUCAAAGGCUCAACCUUUGAAUGCCGGUGGAUACUGCAGGGCUAGAGUCCGGAAGAGGCGAGUGGAAUUCCUGGUGUAGCGGUGGAAUGCGCAGAUAUCAGGAGGAACACCAAUAGCGAAGGCAGCUCGCUGGGACGGUACUGACGCUAAGGCGCGAAAGCGUGGGGAGCGAACAGG
rnacentral:rRNA from 1 species